CUGGAAUCCGUCGGAUUGAGCUGCUCCUAGGCCUGGACCAUUCUCUACUCUACCUCUUUAUACCAAGAACUGAGUCCUUUCCGGCGGGUUGCCUCUGAUUGGGUUGCUGCCACCUUGCAGAUUCCUCUCAACUCUAUGAAGCGGCUCCUUUUCCACCCCAGCCACCACUCCUUCCUUGCUCACUUCCUCUCGUUUCUUUGGACCCUUCUUUCUUCCCCUCUAGUCCCUUCUUUUCCUCAGCCUCCCACCCGUCCUCUUUCUCCUCAACCUCGUGCACAUCGCCCCUGCUCUGUUUGGAUUUGGUUGUUAAUCACAGUUGGCUUUCAAGAUGCAUCAGGAGAGCUGGAUAUGCAGGGCUGCCAGCAACAACGACUGAGGUGGCUGCCCAUCUCACAGUCAUUUGCCCCCCUCUUGGAUGGGCCCCCUGUGGCCAUGCCCAUGCUCCACGACCCUGCUCCAUGCCCUGUCUGACUCUGAUGGGGCCAAUCAGGUUAUCUCUGCCUUGAGACCAUGAAACGGGGAACAGAGAGUCAGAGAGAGGAGCUGAGCCCCUCUGAUUGCAGCACCGGAGAGAGAAGGCUAGUAAUAACCGCCUGCUGUUGUGGCAGCUGUGGCAGCUGUGGGCUCAUAUGCCCACCAAGCCCAGCUGGCACGGAGGAAGCACGGGCAGCCCUCCUUGGUACCGUUUGGGUACUGUGUUAGAAUGGACCAUGCUGCGGUAACAAACAGGCCGACACCUCAGGGGCUGACUCAGAAAACGUUCAUUUUGCCUUUACCACCCACUGCGUAAUGGUUGGUGACUCUCCAGAGCUGCCCUCCUCUAAGUAGUGACUCAGAGGCCCUGGUAGCUCCCGUUGGGUAGCCAUGCCCUCUGGAACGUGUGGCCUCCAACGUCGCUUCAUCAGGGAAAGGGAGAGGAGGGGAAAACACAUCCGCUGUCACCACUGUGGCCAAGAAGGAUCACACAGAAGUAUCACACGUCUCUUUACUUCCCAUUUCAAUUGCCACACCUGCCACGGGGACUCCUGGGAACCACAGAGGAAUCAUAGCUAUUUGGUGAACAUGACUUCUCUCCGCCACACAUCAUUUUUCGGUCGACGAGAAAAAGAAGAAAGAAACUCUUCUCUAGGAUGCCAAAAUUUGUGAUGAGAGUGGCUCUUGACAUACAUAUUUUAAGGCCAACAGAAUCUUUGGAGUGAAGCGAGAUAUAAGAUGAAAGGUAUUAUUUUGUUUGACUUCAAAUGUGCCAGAGCGAAGGUAGCCGCUGGUCCCCCCACCUCAUCCUUCUGGUCACUCAAAAGGACAGCUAAGCACAGCCCCUCACAGCCUCCAAACCUACAGGGCUGAGAUUGGGGUACUGGAGGAGGUGGGGGGCUGCUUCUUUAAGUGAAAUGUCCUCUCUGAUUCCAGAAACCCCGGAGGAUGCAUCUUAAAUGAGCAGGGAAAUUGGCUUUUCUCCCAUCUAUGGCUGUUCAUCUUGCUGGCAGGAGAGGAGUGGUGCAUCAAGGGCAUUAGGUCUCUUCCUGUGUCCCUCUAUUCCAUGCCACCUCAUCAGCCCUGCUCUCCUUCAAGGAAGCCACAUGUUUUGGAACAGACGUUCGGUUUCAGCCCUCAGCGGGCCUUGGGUUUUGUGGGCAACACAGCAUAGUAGGAGAACACAAGUGCCGGUCACAGGUACCUGAGUUUGAGCCCUGGCUCCACCCAGAAUAACCUUAUGUGGUGAAUACAGGCACGAGGAAGGCUAAGGAGCUUACUGAAGAGCCAGGAGCUGGUCAGAGGGGAGUCUGGAAUGACACUCAGCUCCUGACUCCAAACCGUGGCCUAAGCCCCACACUUUGUGUUUUGGGAAUGAGCAUCUUCCCUAAAGCCUGCAGUCCUGGCCCAGCCCAGCUGCAGCCCCUGUAACUACAGCCCGUUUCUAAAUCGCCCCUCCCCGGUGCCCACGUGCCUUUGUGAGCCAGGCCAUUCUUCCCGCCAGCCCUGGUCGCAGCCAAGCUUGCUGUGCCCUUGAACUUUUUUGCUUGGGUCAUGAAGAAAGGAACCUUCAGUGCAUUUCAAUUCUCCAAGACAAGCUUGCAGAGAUGCUGCUGGCCCCUUCCCAGUGAUGAUUUAUGCAGGGUAUUCAAAUCAACUCAGGAUAAUACUCACUGGGAAACUGAGAAGAAACACUAACUGAGUGACUUUGGGCAAGUCCCUCAAAUGCUCAGAGUCUCAAAUUCUUCAUGAAAAAACUGCAAGAUUUAGACCAGAUGAUCUCUAAGGGAAAGCCAAC
ensembl:lncRNA